GGGGCUAUAGCUCAGACGGAAGAGCGCCUGCUUUGCACGCAGGAGGUCAGCGGUUCGAUCCCGCUUAGCUCCACAA
rnacentral:tRNA from 1 species